UUGAAGUAAUUGUCCUUAUUUAAAAUAUUACAAAGUUUGAAUUUAAAUAGAAAUUAGUACUUAGCUUUUUAGACAAAUUCUCAUUGGUUAUUUUGUCUAUUACUUGUGGAUUAUUUGUACCGCUUUUAAAUUUAAUAAUGCAAUUUCCUUUUAUUGUUAUAAAUAUGUGUACAAGAAUUUACUUUUGCUAAGGCAGGCUUUUUGGUGUAUUCUCCUUAUUGAAGGCAAAAACACAUUAUUGGUGGCUUCACCCAACAUAUUAUUGUAUAUAGUUUGAUUGUUACGCUAAAUCAAGAUUAAAAUUGUUCUUUCAUAGACGGAGGACCUGGUACUAUAAAGGGGCACAUCUAUAAAAGGACUAUAAUUUUGCUAAGGAAGGCUUUUUGGUGUAUUCUCCUUAUUGAAGACAAAAACAAAAAUAAUGGUGGCUUCAUCAAGCAUAUUAUUGUAUAUAGUUUAAUUGUUAUGCUAAAUCCAUAUAAAAAUUAUGUUUCCAUGGAUGAAGGACCCGACACUAUAAAAAGGAUACAUCUAUAAAAGAUAUGUGUACUAGACUUUUUUUUGCGAAAGAAGGCUUUUUGGUGCAUUCUCCUUAUUGAAGACAAAAACAUAUUAUUGGUGGUUUCACCCAACAUAUUGUUGUAUAUAGUUUAAUUAUUAUGCUAAAUCAAGAUAAAAAUUGUGUUUCCAUAGAUGAAGGACCUGACACUAUAAAGGGAUACAUCUAUAAAAGGCGAGUUAUUUUUUUUC